GGGGACCUUCGGGGCCCUAUAAAUCCAUCGGACCUAUGGUCCAAAGCAACGGAAGACAGAGA
rnacentral:ncRNA from 1 species